GCGGGUGUGGCGGAAUUGGCAGACGCGCUAGACUUAGGAUCUAGUGCCGCACGGCGUGGGGGUUCAAGUCCCUCCACCCGCACUA
rnacentral:tRNA from 1 species